UGGUGGAGCGAUUUGUCUGGUUAAUUCCGAUAACGAACGAGACUCUAGCCUAUUAAAUAGUUCGCCGAUCUACGUUACGUCGGCGUCAACUUCUUAGAGGGACAAGUGGCGUUUAGCCACGCGAGAUUGAGCAAUAACA
rnacentral:rRNA from 1 species